ACAAGGGGUAGUUUAAGUGUAAAAUAGUAGCUUUGGGAGUUAAUAAUAAAGAAAUUUCUUUCCUCUUGAA
rnacentral:tRNA from 1 species